GACGAACGCUGGCGGCGUGCUUAAUACAUGCAAGUCGAGCGAGGCCCAUCCAGUGGCAACACUGGGGAAGGCCGAGCGGCGAACGGGUGAGUAACACGUGAGCAACCUGCCCCGAAGUCUGGAAUAACAUCGGGAAACCGGUGCUAAUACCGGAUUGCCCCACCUGACCGCAUGAUCGGGUGAGGAAAGAUCUAUCGCUUCGGGAGGGGCUCGCGGCCUAUCAGCUAGUGGCGGGGUAACGGCCCACCAAGGCGUCGACGGGUAGCUGGUCUGAGAGGACGACCAGCCACACUGGGACUGAGACACGGCCCAGACUCCUACGGGAGGCAGCAGUAGGGAAUCUUGCGCAAUGGGCGAAAGCCUGACGCAGCAACGCCGCGUGGGGGAGUGACGGCC
rnacentral:rRNA from 1 species